UUUGGGAAUAAGUGUAGUCUCUUGGGAAAUUCUGAUGAAUUGGCUAGUUUGUUCCUCUUCUUGUUUUUGUUUUGUAAAUAUGUUAUAUAUCUUGUCUCAAACAUUCUUCAUAUAGAGAAAAGAAAAAGAGGCAAGAUGAAAAAAAAAAGAAAAAAAUUGAAAAGAAAAAAUACAAAAAAAUAAAAAAAAAUUGUGUGAAUAAUGGAGUCAAGAAGAGGAUUGAAUUAGAGGGUUUUGUGUGUGAUUUGACUGUGAUUUCACUUUUUCCCCAUCGCUCCUCUAUUCCUUUUGGUUUGUAACUUCUCAUCCAUAUUAUAUCCUUC
rnacentral:lncRNA from 1 species